rnacentral:rRNA from 1 species
CGGCAAGACGGAAAGACCCCGUGAACCUUUACUAUAGCUUGACACUGAACAUUGAGCCUUGAUGUGUAGGAUAGGUGGGAGGCUUUGAAGCGUGGACGCCAGUCUGCGUGGAGCCAACCUUGAAAUACCACCCUUUAAUGUUUGAUGUUCUAACGUUGGCCCCUUACCGGGGUUGCGGACAGUGUCUGGUGGGUAGUUUGACUGGGCGGUCUCCUCCCAAAGCGUAACGGAGGAGCACGAAGGUUAGCUAAUCCUGGUCGGACAUCAGGAGGUUAGUGCAAUGGCAUAAGCUAGCUUGACUGCGAGCGUGACGGCGCGAGCAGGUGCGAAAGCAGGUCAUAGUGAUCCGGUGGUUCUGAAUGGAAGGGCCAUCGCUCAACGGAUAAAAGGUACUCCGGGGAUAACAGGCUGAUACCGCCCAAGAGUUCAUAUCGACGGCG